GGAGAGUUUGAUCCUGGCUCAGGAUGAACGCUAGCGGCAGGCUUAACACAUGCAAGUCGAGGGGCAGCAUAAUGGAUAGCAAUAUCUAUGGUGGCGACCGGCGCACGGGUGCGUAACGCGUAUGCAACCUACCUUUAACAGGGGGAUAACACUGAGAAAUUGGUACUAAUACCCCAUAAUAUCAUAGAAGGCAUCUUUUAUGGUUGAAAAUUCCGAUGGUUAGAGAUGGGCAUGCGUUGUAUUAGCUAGUUGGUGAGGUAACGGCUCACCAAGGCUACGAUACAUAGGGGGACUGAGAGGUUUUCCCCCCACACUGGUACUGAGACACGGACCAGACUCCUACGGGAGGCAGCAGUGAGGAAUAUUGGUCAAUGGACGCAAGUCUGAACCAGCCAUGCCGCGUGCAGGAUGACGGCUCUAUGAGUUGUAAACUGCUUUUGUACGAGGGUAAACGCAGAUACGUGUAUCUGCCUGAAAGUAUCGUACGAAUAAGGAUCGGCUAACUCCGUGCCAGCAGCCGCGGUAAUACGGAGGAUUCAAGCGUUAUCCGGAUUUAUUGGGUUUAAAGGGUGCGUAGGCGGUUUGAUAAGUUAGAGGUGAAAUUUCGGGGCUCAACCCUGAACGUGCCUCUAAUACUGUUGAGCUAGAGAGUAGUUGCGGUAGGCGGAAUGUAUGGUGUAGCGGUGAAAUGCUUAGAGAUCAUACAGAACACCGAUUGCGAAGGCAGCUUACCAAACUAUAUCUGACGUUGAGGCACGAAAGCGUGGGGAGCAAACAGGAUUAGAUACCCUGGUAGUCCACGCAGUAAACGAUGAUAACUCGUUGUCGGCGAUACACAGUCGGUGACUAAGCGAAAGCGAUAAGUUAUCCACCUGGGGAGUACGUUCGCAAGAAUGAAACUCAAAGGAAUUGACGGGGGCCCGCACAAGCGGAGGAACAUGUGGUUUAAUUCGAUGAUACGCGAGGAACCUUACCCGGGCUUGAAAGUUAGCGACGAUUCUUGAAAGAGGAUUUCCCUUCGGGGCGCGAAACUAGGUGCUGCAUGGUUGUCGUCAGCUCGUGCCGUGAGGUGUCGGGUUAAGUCCCAUAACGAGCGCAACCCCUACCGUUAGUUGCCAUCAGGUGAAGCUGGGCACUCUGGCGGGACUGCCGGUGUAAGCCGAGAGGAAGGUGGGGAUGACGUCAAAUCAGCACGGCCCUUACGUCCGGGGCUACACA
rnacentral:rRNA from 1 species